GACGUAGGGGGCAAGCGUUGUUCGGAAUCAUUGGGCGUAAAGGGCGCGUAGGUGGUUCUGUAUGUCUACCGUGAAAGCGUACGGCUCAACCGUAUUUUGUCGGUGGAAACUGCAGGACUUGAGGCUGGGAGGGGCUGGUGGAAUUCCCUGUGUAGCGGUGAAAUGCGUAGAGAUGGGGGAGAACACUCGUGGCGAAGGCGGCCAGCUAGACCAGUUCUGACACUGAGGCGCGACAGCGUGGGGAGCAAACAGG
rnacentral:rRNA from 1 species